rnacentral:rRNA from 1 species
GACACCUUAAUCCAACAUCGAGGUCGCAAACCCUUCUUUCAAUGUGAACUCUCCAGAAAGAUUACGCUGUUAUCCCUGUGGUAACUUUUUCCGAUAAUCAACAAUGCUGGAUCACUUGUUAGUAAACCAAAAUUCUACAAAUUAACAGAGAAGCUUUUCAUGUUCCCUAGUCACCCCAACUAAAGAUGUAAGAAUAAAUUUAAAAUCCUCUAUUCUAAUAGAAACAGCCCCUUUAUUCCACACUAAAGCUCAACAGGGUCUUCUCGUCCCUCAGCUAAAUCUAAGCCUUUUCACUUAGAAGUUAAUUUUUAAAUAUUCCAGGAGAGACAGCUCAGCCCUCGUCAAACCAUUCAUACCAGCCUCCAAUUAAAAGGCAAGUGAUUGUGCUACCUUUGCACGGUCAGUGUACCGCGGCCGUUU